CACGAAUCAAAUAUGGUUUUUCUUCUACGACAUUAUCCUAUAAACUAGCGGCCAUUGAGAGUCCAUGUGCUCUCUACCUGUUCGCAGGUUGUACCUCCCUAAAAUCCUACUACAUUCCAUUCCUUUUUAAAAAAAGAGAACAUAUGUUUGGUAAUAUAAACGUAUUUAGCUAACAAGGAAGACGCUUGUUCUUAUAACAAACACAAAGUAAUUGUAAAUCUUCAAGUUGCUUUUGAGCGUUCUGUCCAAUCUUAUACUUAUCG